rnacentral:rRNA from 1 species
UACGGGGGGAGCAAGCGUUGUUCGGAUUUACUGGGCGUAAAGCGCGUGUAGGCGGUCCGGUAAGUCCGCUGUGAAAGUUCGGGGGCUCAACCCUCGAAUGCCGGUGGAUACUGUCGGGCUAGAGUGCGGAAGAGGCGAGUGGAAUUCCUGGUGUAGCGGUGAAAUGCGCAGAUAUCAGGAGGAACACCAAUUGCGAAGGCAGCUCGCUGGGACGUUACUGACGCUGGAGACGCGAAAGCGUGGGGAGCAAACAGG